AGUGAACGCUGGCGGUAGGCCUAACACAUGCAAGUCGAACGGCAGCACAGUAAGAGCUUGCUCUUACGGGUGGCGAGUGGCGGACGGGUGAGGAAUACAUCGGAAUCUACUUUUUCGUGGGGGAUAACGUAGGGAAACUUACGCUAAUACCGCAUACGACCUACGGGUGAAAGCAGGGGAUCUUCGGACCUUGCGCGAUUGAAUGAGCCGAUGUCGGAUUAGCUAGUUGGCGGGGUAAAGGCCCACCAAGGCGACGAUCCGUAGCUGGUCUGAGAGGAUGAUCAGCCACACUGGAACUUAGACACGGUCCAGACUCCUACGUGAGGCAGCAGUGGGGAAUAUUGGACAAUGGGCGCAAGCCUGAUCCAGCCAUACCGCGUGGGUGAAGAAGGCCUUCGGGUUGUAAAGCCCUUUUGUUGGGAAAGAAAAGCAGCAGGUUAAUACCCCGCUGUUCUGACGGUACCCAAAGAAUAAGCACCGGCUAACUUCGUG
rnacentral:rRNA from 1 species